UACGUAGGGCGCGAGCGUUGUCCGGAUUUAUUGGGCGUAAAGAGCUCGUAGGCGGCUUGUCGCGUCGAAUGUGAAAACCCACGGCUCAACUGGGGGCUUGCAUUCGAUACGGGCAGGCUAGAGUUCGGUAGGGGAGACUGGAAUUCCUGGUGUAGCGGUGAAAUGCGCAGAUAUCAGGAGGAACACCGGUGGCGAAGGCGGGUCUCUGGGCCGAUACUGACGCUGAGGAGCGAAAGCGUGGGGAGCGAACAGG
rnacentral:rRNA from 1 species